rnacentral:rRNA from 1 species
CAGCAGCCGCGGGAAUACGAAGGGUGCAAGCGUUAAUCGGAAUUACUGGGCGUAAAGCGUGCGUAGGCGGUUUGUUAAGUCUGUUGUGAAAUCCCCGGGCUCAACCUGGGAAUGGCAAUGGAUACUGGCAAGCUAGAGUGUGUCAGAGGAUGGUGGAAUUCCCGGUGUAGCGGUGAAAUGCGUAGAGAUCGGGAGGAACAUCAGUGGCGAAGGCGGCCAUCUGGGACAACACUGACGCUGAGGCACGAAAGCGUGGGGAGCAAACGGGAUUAGAGACCCCCGUAGUCCCUGUCUCUUAUAC